CAGUCGAGCGGAUGAUGGGAGCUUGCUCCAUGAUUCAGCGGCGGACGGGUGAGUAAUGCCUAGGAAUCUGCCUGAUAGUGGGGGACAACGUUUCGAAAGGAACGCUAAUACCGCAUACGUCCUACGGGAGAAAGCAGGGGACCUUCGGGCCUUGCGCUAUCAGAUGAGCCUAGGUCGGAUUAGCUGGUUGGUGAGGUAAUGGCUCACCAAGGCGACGAUCCGUAACUGGUCUGAGAGGAUGAUCAGUCACACUGGAACUGAGACACGGUCCAGACUCCUACGGGAGGCAGCAGUGGGGAAUAUUGGACAAUGGGCGAAAGCCUGAUCCAGCCAUGCCGCGUGUGUGAAGAAGGUCUUCGGAUUGUAAAGCACUUUAAGUUGGGAGGAAGGGCAGUAAGCUAAUACCUUGCUGUUUUGACGUUACCGACAGAAUAAGCACCGGCUAACUUCGUGCCAGCA
rnacentral:rRNA from 1 species